rnacentral:rRNA from 1 species
UUAAUACCCCAUAGUAAUAUUUAGUGGCAUCAUUAGAUAUUUAAAGAUUUAUUGCUUAGAGAUGGCUGUGCGGCUGAUUAGGUAGUUGGCGGGGUAAAGGCCCACCAAGCCAUCGAUCAGUAACUGGUGUGAGAGCACGACCAGUCACACGGGCACUGAGACACGGGCCCGACUCCUACGGGAGGCAGCAGUAAGGAAUAUUGGUCAAUGGACGAAAGUCUGAACCAGCCAUGCCGCGUGAAGGAUGAAGGUCCUCUGGAUUGUAAACUUCUUUUAUGUGGGAAGAAACCGAUGGAUUAUUCUGUCGUUGACGGUACCAUAGGAAUAAGCACCGGCUAACUCCGUGCCAGCAGCCGCGGUAAUACGGAGGGUGCAAGCGUUAUCCGGAUUCACUGGGUUUAAAGGGUGCGUAGGUGGGAAAGUAAGUCAGUGGUGAAAUCUCCGUGCUUAACACGGAAACUGCCAUUGAUACUAUUUUUCUUGAAUUUUCUGGAGGUCAGCGGAAUAUGUCAUGUAGCGGUGAAAUGCUUAGAUAUGACAUAGAACACCAAUUGCGAAGGCAGCUGGCUACAGGGACAUUGACACUGAGGCACGAAAGCGUGGGGAUCAAACA